UACAGAGGGUGCGAGCGUUGUCCGGAAUCACUGGGCGUAAAGGGCGCGUAGGUGGUUAUGUAAGUGAGAUGUGAAAUCCCUGGGCUUAACCUAGGAACUGCAUCUUAUACUGCAUAACUGGAGUACUGUAGAGGGGGGUGGAAUUCCGCGUGUAGCAGUGAAAUGCGUAGAGAUGCGGAGGAACACCGAUGGCGAAGGCAGCCCCCUGGGCUAACACUGACGCUCAGGCACGAAAGCGUGGGGAGCAAACAGG
rnacentral:rRNA from 1 species